CAUAAUGUGACAAAGGAAGGUGAAAAUCAGAGAAAUAGGUCCAGGGGUUUUCUCACUGCAGCGUCAGGACAAAUGGAAACAGAAAGCCCUGAGGAAGUACUGUAUAGCAGAGAGGUGGGGCAAGGGUGCUCAGAAAAGAAUCUGACUAAGAGCAGUUUCCAAGCCCACAGACCCCGCGGUUCAGACUAGGACAGUGAUGUGUUCCACCCUUUCACUAAGUUAAGUAGGAUUUUGAAACUGAGGAAUGUAUAUGCUGGUGGCACUGUUUUGGAAUGAGUAAAAAUAGGAUAGCCAUGGUUAGAAAACGUGGGAGUCAGGUACCACCAGAUACUUAGGAGAGAUCCUCACCAUGAAGUGAAAUGCAAGAAAAACCUUCAUUUACCAAAGGAAAGAGGUCUCACUUCUUUACCUCAUCCUCACCCUUAAGGAAUAUUUUACUUCGCGUAAACCAUGGUAAUGACCAAUAUGAUGGAAAUGUAACUUGAGAAAAUCCUGUUUAAUGUGUAUCUUUACUCUUCUAGGCCUCUUUUUCGUGGAAGUUCAGACGUUGAUCAACUUGGAAAAAUCUUGGAUGUAAUUGGACUCCCAGGAGAAGAAGACUGGCCCAGAGAUGUCGCCCUUCCCAGACAGGCUUUUCACUCAAAAUCUCCUCAACCAAUUGAGAAGUUCGUAACAGAUAUUGAUGAACAAGGCAAAGACCUACUCCUGAAGUGCCUAACCUUUAAUCCGGCCAAAAGAAUAUCUGCCUACAGUGCCCUGUCUCACCCCUACUUCCAUGAUCUGGAGAGGUGCAAGGAGAAUCUGGAUUCCCGUCUGCCUCCCAGCCAGAACAGCUCAGAGAUGAAUACAGCCUGAGGUCCCGACGGCCAUCUUGAGCUGAUCAGCGGGAGAACACCCCUGGGGGCUGAUGGGCCCCCCCUGAGUAAGCCCCGCAGAGCCACUGAGGAUCACUGGCUGGGGACCUUCUAGUUGCCGUCGUCUGGACGGGCUCUGCUUCUCCAUGGAAACCGCCUAGUUUACUGUUUUGAAAUCAAUGCAAGAGCGAUUGCAGCUUUAUGUUCAUUCGUUUGUUUGUUUGUUUGUUUGUCUGUUUGUUUGUUUCAAGAACCUGGAAAAAUUCCAGAAGAGAAGCUGCUGACCAAUUGUGCUGCCAUUUCAUUUUUCUAAUCUUGAAUGCUGCCAGUGUGGAGUGAGCAAUCCAGGCACAGCUGAGUUAUGAUGUAAUCUCUCUGCAGCUGCCUGAGCCUGCUUUGGUACUUUUGAGUGAGAGUGUGCACGCGCGUGUGCAUGCGCAUGCAUGCGUGCGUAUGUGUGUGCGGGAGAUUCUUGAUUUCUUAAAGUGUUACUUUCUGUAAACAACAAGAAUAAUUGAAUUUUAAAGACUCAAAGUGACCUAUAAAUAACAGGUGUCUAUUGACUAAAGGUGAUUUACCAGAAUGGGCUUCUCAAAUUACACAGUUGAACCUAUGUCCUCAGAAUUUCUUUUAUGGCCAAAAACAGUAAAUUUGUUAGAAGUAAAACAUUCACUAUCUAGAUGAAGUUUUAUACACACAACAAAAAGAAAAAAAAUGCUAGUAUCUUUUAAGAGACCUGUUUUUUAAAGCAUACACUCUCUUUACUCUUGAUAAAAGCUGAAAAUUACUCACUGUAAGUCCAUUUUAACCUGUAUUAUAUGCUUUGUUAUUUCUUUUGAAAAACACCCUAUAAGCUUUUUCUUACUUGCUAUAGAUUUAGGGAGUGUACCUCAAAUAGGUAAAAUGGUCAAAAAAAAAAAAAAAACAAUUAGAGAAAGCCUUUAUUUCCUGAUUUGAAAUCUGUUUCCUUUUUGGAUUCUGUUGUUACUUUAUUUUGUUUUUUUGAUUUUAGGAAUUUGUCAGAAACUGUUUCCUGUUUUGACUCAGAGAAUAGCUUUCUCUGACGAGACAGGAAUACCAUUUAAGUUUUCCCUAUUACACUGUACUUUUUCUGCCAUGCACUGCCUUGUUUGCAGAGUUUCCAUCUUAUCUCCUAGGGCCUCUAGUAUAUAUUACUACCAUUACAUAACUAAUAACAGAUUGUUUAAGCCGUUCCCAUGCACCUCCUGCUUGCUUUCUUUCAGUGAACCUUUUGUAAAUAGUUAGAUUCAGAUUGUGGCUUAAUGGAUCCAAUUUUUCAGCCCUAACAGGGUCCCCUAGGCUCUCACUCCAGUGUGAUCUUCCCAGCCAGCAUUUGUUGUUGUUCCCUAGCCAGUGAGUGGAGGAUUGGCUCUUCUCUAUCACCAGCACAUAGAUUGCCUUAAACUGUUACUUAGUGUUUUACAAUUUUUUUAGAAGAUGUCCGUGUAGAAUCGGAGAGAAUGUCUUUAACUAUUUUUUUUUAGACGUAUAUAUUUACCCUAUAAAAUGAUCUUUUCUCCAUCUCCCAGGCUGUGCUUAUUUCCAGUGCCUGUGCAUACUCCCUCUCCGUGCAGAGCCAGCCUGACCUGGGCAUUGUGAACAGCUUUACUUUUUCUCUCGCCAUUUUCUCUACCGUUCUUUAUAUUUCAUGUCAUCUCUGCCUUAUGUGUGGUUAGUACUCAGUUAGCUCAAGUAACCCGAAGACGCAGAGAUGAAGUAUCCUUUUGGAAGUUUAGCUGUCUUUGCUCUCUGACUCAUGUUUUGAGUACAUGCAACAGAUAGGCUAUGUUUAGAGUUAGGGUUGUCAAAGAAUGAACAUCGCUUCACUCAGUAGAAAAUGUUCCAGUUGAUGUUUAUAUAUUGUCUAGCCUUACUGAAUUCUUCACAGCUUAAUAUUCUAUACUACCAUGAUGAACAAGGGAAAAAUUAAGACUUUUCUCCUUGAAAGCUUUUUGGGUUGGAAAUUACUCUUUUUUUAAUAUGUAUAUUGUUUAACAUUUUUCUAAUUCAGUAACUUGAAGAGCAGGAAAAUUGGUCUAAAGCUAGAUAUGAAUGAGAAGAUGGGCCACAAGAAUGUUUGAUGCUUUCUUCCUUGUUGACAAUAUUGCUUAUGUUUUGUCAUCACUGUAAAUGCUUGAGAUAUAAUGAAUCCAUAGCAGUCGGGGCAAUGUCUCCCCUGGAAAAGUGAUUUCUGCCUUUCCUUUGAAGACAUUUUUUGCUGGGCCCUAGAAAUUCAAUUUUAAAACUCAAUAUAAGUACUGAUUUCAUCAUGUGCUUUCUGGUUAGUAUCCAUGGCUAGAGUGAACAUAAGUUGAGUUUCUGCUUUUUUCAGGUUUUCAGAAGUUCUCUCAAGAAAAAUGCAGCCGUUCUGAACUGGAAUUUUUCAGCAUUCUUGGGAAUUCUAAACAAGCAGAGAGCUCCACUUUAUUUCUAGCAUAUACUUUUGGUUCAUUUCUCAGUAGUGUUUAUGAAGAAAACUUAAAGCACAAACAUUUUGGCAUGAGAUUCAUUAGAUGCUUGGCAAAUUAUCCCCUGAGAGGCAGAAGGAGAGGGUAUCUGGCCUCUCUGACCCCAGCUCUUCCAUCUGUGUGGUUCUUGCAGUUGAGUAAUUACCCUCGUUUUAUGUCUUUUACAUCCAGGCUCACCAGUUCUGAUAUCCAGAUGCCACACGAGCCCCCUUCCCAUUAGGGCACUUUGAAGCAUAUAGCAGCAUAGGAAUUUACUGAAUACAGCUUAUUCUUCUGUGACAUAUGGUUUCAAACGUCUUUGCCAAAAGCCAAGCAGUGGUCAGCUAAAAAAGUCAUACUGCCCCAGGGAUAUACUGAAGCAGCUUAUAUCAAUAAAAAUACGGUGUCAGAUUCAAAAUCACAUUUAUAUUCACAUUUGAGGGCUGGUGCUAGAAUGUGCCUCAUAGUUUCUAUAUGAUAAUUGUUCUCUUAGGGCCCAGGCAUUGUGGGAACCAUAGUGCAUGGUGAAGUUGUAACAAUCCCACUUAAGAAUAAGAGAGAAACCUGUCCAUUUCAGCAUUAUAAGCUAUCAUGUGGCAAAGGUAAUAAAGCCCUAAUCUUACAAACUUAAAAACACAAUACCCAGUGCAUUGGCACCUCCCACUUUGUCUCUCCUUGAAAGUAGAUAAGAACCCAAGAAACAGAACCUGUUUUAAACAAGACUUCGGAGCCAUUUCAUCCCUCUGUAUUCUCAUGAUUUUCUCUCAGGAAUCACACACUAGGAAUGGCAUACUUUUCAUUUAGCCCAAGGUGUCUUACUAAAAUAAAAAUAGUUCAAAAUAUUUACCUAAGAAUAGAAUCUCAGCCAUUUAGUUUUAAGUAAAAAUGAAAAUUUCAGAAUGCAUGGGAUGUUAAUAUCUUAAAGAAAAUGUACACCUUUCAAUAGAAAUUUAUCAUUUGACUCCAGAACGCAGUACUGUCCAUCUUGAUGGGGGGGGGGGGUGGGAAACAACCAAAUAGUACCAAAUAUUUUGAAUCUUAAAUUAUGUAUUUAAAUUUAGCUUUUAACUAUAUGCCUCUUAAGGUCAGUAAUGGCAGUCCUCAUGCCAUUAUGGAAAUUAAAAUCAUGUAAGCUUCCUAAUAUCACAAACAUAUUAAAAUUCUUCUUUCCAAAGAAUUGCUUUUAAGUGACAACUUGGCUAUUUUUAUGAUAAGCACAGAAGAGAGUGUCUCACAUUUUCCAAAAGCAGGCUUUUGUUGCAUAGUCAGGUCUAGGAAAGAGUAAUAUUAAAAGUUAAUAAGCUGCUGUAAUUACUUAAUUGUGUUAGUACAGUAACUAUAGAAUAUUCACCCUGGAAAGAAAAUGUUGAGACAUUAUAAGUUCUUAGGUAUUGACAAAAUUCAAAAGAAUGCAUGUUUUACAUUGUGACACAUAAAAACAGUGCCUUUAUUUUAAAAAAUAAAGAUGGUAGCAUGAUUUCUAAAUCUUUAAAAGGCAUAAAAUAAUGGACAAUGGAUAGAGGAAAUUCUAGAGAAAAUGAAGGUAUUCAAAGAAGGAUAGUUUCAAAGUUAGAUAUAUUUUGAAGGAUAAAUAUUUAUUAGCAAAUAUAUUGUAAGAAUUUCUAUUAAAGUCAUCCGGCAACUAUGAAGUUGAUAACGUUCCAAAACAUGUUUUAUGGAAAAGCCUUUCCAAGCAGUUACCAUUUCAAAGGGUGACCUGAGCAAACUACCAUACUCCUUACUUCGUGGGAAGAAGCAGCCAUGUGAAACUAACGCUUGUUAUGCAAGCCUAAGAAUGUUCACUGUAAAUAAUAAUAAUAAUAAAUUUUAAAAAGGCACAUAUUUCCUGUGCCACCAAGAUUUUUUGAAAACUGGUAAAACCCAAAUCCUUGAUCAUAUGCACUUGAUACAUUCAGAUGUAUGAUAUGGAACAUAGCUACAUGUUUCCACGGUAGAAAAACUUACUGAGACUGCAAAAGCCUAUCACGCAAUAGAAGUCCCCAGGUAAUUAGUAGUGGUGUUCUCUUCAAAAGCAUACGAAAAUAGCAUUUUCAUUUCUUAUUAAUGCAAUUUUCAACCUAGUGGUGUUACAUACCUAUAUCUCAAGCAUUUCUGACUUGUACUUUUUCAGAAAAUAAGCCACAAUAUUCCUUUGGCCUUUUCUAUCUUCUGACCUUUGUAAACAACAGAAAUGUAGAAAGAGGAGGGGUCUGAUUUUUUAAAUGUUUUUUUUCCUCAGUUUGUUUGUUUGUUUUAAUGACGUACGAAUCAGCUCUUCAAAAUGUUUUGUUUCUUAGCAUUCCCAGGGAGUUGAGAUAAAUGAAUGAACUUCCA